GCUGGGCGUGGUGGUGGGCGCCUGUAAUCCCAGCUACUUGGGAGGCUGAGGCAGGAGAAUCACUUGAACCCAGGAGGCGGAGGCUGCAGUGAGCUGAGAUUGCGCCACUGUACUCCAGCCUGGGUGACAGAGUGAGACUCUGUCUAAA
rnacentral:SRP_RNA from 1 species